GACGAACGCUGGCGGCGUGCUUAACACAUGCAAGUCGAACGGAAAGGCCCUGCUUUUGUGGGGUGCUCGAGUGGCGAACGUGUGAGUAACACGUGAGUAACCUGCCCUUGACUUUGGGAUAACUUCAGUAAACUGGGGCUAAUACCGGAUAGGAGCUCCUGCUGCAUGGUGGGGGUUGGAAAGUUUCGGCGGUUGGGGAUGGACUCGCGGCUUAUCAGCUUGUUGGUGGGGUAGUGUCUUACCAAGGCUUUGACGGGUAGCCGGCCUGAGAGGGUGACCGGCAACAUUGGGACUGAGAUAAGGCCCAGAAUCCUACGGGAGGCAGCAGUGGGGAAUAUUGCACAAUGGGCGGAAGCCUGAUGCAGCAACGACGCGUGCGGGAUGACGGCCUUCGGGUUGUAAACCGCUUUCGCCUGUGACGAAGCGUGAGUGACGGUAAUGGGUAAAGAAGCACCGGCUAACUACGUG
rnacentral:rRNA from 1 species